UUUCUCGCCACUUGCAGAUUUCAUUUGAAAGAGUAAAGUUCAGCCACAAGUGUUAUUACAAAAUUACUAAAUUUUUUACCAACCAACCUUAAAUUAUUCUUUUCCCAGCAAAAUGAUCGGCCAUUCUCGACUCCACGGCGCAAAUGUUGGCUCUCUGGAGAAAAAUGGCACCAGUAGAGCCAAUUCUAAAGGCCGACUUCCCCAUCCGGUCGCUAGACCAUUUAAAGGAGAUGGACGAAAAGAUUUACGGGAAAAUGGAAAAAUACGUACCGCUCCUUAAAUCCAUUUUGGAGUUACAACUUAAUUAAAAACUUGGACCAAAUUUUAAGCCCGGAUGUGAUUUUACAACUAAACUACAGUGGGUCCAAACAUAAAUAUGGACUCGCCAAUUUCCACAACUUAUAUUCAGUCCUGCAAGAAUCACAAAAACGGGAAGGAUAUUCCUUAUUGGAAUAUAUAAAAGACGUCCGGUUGGCCUUUAUGCGCCAAAAAAAUAAAAUAUAUAAGGGGAAAAGCGCGUUAAAGAAGGCCCACCCGGAGCCAGGAGCCGAACCGUACGAUUCUGACUCUGAAUAAAAAUAAAUAAAUAAAAAUAUGAAAUUGAAA